rnacentral:rRNA from 1 species
GACGAACGCUGGCGGCGUGCUUAACACAUGCAAGUCGAACGGAAAGGCCCUGCUUGCAGGGUACUCGAGUGGCGAACGGGUGAGUAACACGUGGGUGAUCUGCCCUGCACUUCGGGAUAAGCUUGGGAAACUGGGUCUAAUACCGGAUAGGACCGCACUUUAGUGUGUGUGGUGGAAAGUUUUUUCGGUGUAGGAUGAGCUCGCGGCCUAUCAGCUUGUUGGUGGGGUAAUGGCCUACCAAGGCGGCGACGGGUAGCCGGCCUGAGAGGGUGUACGGCCACAUUGGGACUGAGAUACGGCCCAGACUCCUACGGGAGGCAGCAGUGGGGAAUAUUGCACAAUGGGCGCAAGCCUGAUGCAGCGACGCCGCGUGGGGGAUGAAGGCCUUCGGGUUGUAAACUCCUUUCGCUAGGGACGAAGCUUUGUUGUGACGGUACCUAGAUAAGAAGCACCGGCUAACUCCGUG